CAGAUCUCUGAUUCCUAUCACAUGUCUGCCUACUUCUUAGGCAAGUGAGAACUUUUGCAUGGUGAGAGCUCAGCUUGGGCCUCUGGACAGCUACAGGGUUCCUCUACAAGACAUCAAAAACUUCUAGAUCAGAUUGCGCAGGCAGAACUCCAACCCUGUAAUAAAGGUGCUUGCUUCCAGGACAACAGAACGUGCAGAAACCUAGAUGGCAACCUGAUGAGGUUAACAAAGUUGGAGAAAAAGCAAGAUACUUCUUGGAGCUAACAUUAGAAUUGGGGUCAGGCCUCAUUCCUCUUGACUCUUGUUCCCCAAUCCCUUGGACUCAUUUCCUGAGGAUUUUUCCAAAGCUGCAUUUGUUCACAUGGUGAGUGUUCUUCCUUCUGUGGGCUCUCCCACUGCACAGCAGCAUUGAAUGUCGACAAAGGUCCCUUUCGCCUGAGAGCCUGUGGGGUCACCGUUCUCUUUAAUUGCUGAAGUAGUCCAGCUGAACACACUUUGAACUGUUUACAAAAGAGACUUCAGGACUGUCGAGGUUUCUGAAUACAGACUAUUUUCAUGAAGGACCAAGUUUAUCCAAGGCCUGAGGCAAAGACCCCGACAACAGAAAGAGGGGCGUCAGGUUAGAUGAGAUCACUGUAGUCAUUAGAACUCUCACAGCUUCAGACUCAGUAAUACUUUUAUCUGUGGGAAGACUGGAAGGCUGUCGCUCUCCCUUCAGGCCCUCUUUAAAAAGCCAUUCAAAUCAUAAGAAGACGUUAAAUUUAUCCAGUGAAUUUGAAAGCUGAAAGGUAAAUGUUAGAGAUAGUUUGGUCUUGAAUGGGGAAACUGAGCCCUAUUUAAAAAAAAAAAAUCAAAAUUCACUGAAGCUCACACAAAAAUUGUCAAAGGUCAAAUUCCUGUUUGUCCAGAACUUUCCAAGUUUUAAACCAAGAGCCCACGGUCUCAAGGGGGCUGAUCGUCCUGCUCUAAACUCUAAUAGCAAAGUAUUUCACUGGAUGGUUUGCAAGAUCAGUACAACCAGAGGGGAAGAGCUAAGCAAUUGAUGAUGUUCUGGGGCUGAGGUCACUGAUCACAUCCUGGGAGCUGGACAGCUGCACCCCAAGUGUUGUGUUUGACUUACAUGGCAGGAGGCAGGCACUCAGCACAUGCUUGCUGAAUAAAUGAGCAGGGAAUGCAGCUUCUGAAA